rnacentral:rRNA from 1 species
AUUGAACGCUGGCGGCAGGCCUAACACAUGCAAGUCGAGCGAGCGGCGGACGGGUGAGUAAUGUCUGGGAAACUGCCUGAUGGAGGGGGAUAACUACUGGAAACGGUAGCUAAUACCGCAUACAAUCGGAUGGGCCCAGAUGGGAUUAGCUAGUAGGUGGGGUAACGGCUCACCUAGGCGACGAUCCCUAGCUGGUCUGAGAGGAUGACCAGCCACACUGGACCUAGUCCACGGUCCAGACUCCUACGGGAGGCAGCAGUGGGGAAUAUUGCACACUGGGCGCAAGCCUGCUGCAGCCAUGCCGCGUGUAUGAAGAGGGCCUUCGGGUUGUAAAGUACUUUCAGCGAGGAGGCGUUACUCGCAGAAGAAGCACCGGCUAACUCCGUGCCAGCAGCCGCGGUAAUAC